rnacentral:rRNA from 1 species
UACGUAGGGUGCAAGCGUUGUCCGGAAUUAUUGGGCGUAAAGAGCUCGUAGGCGGUCUGUCACGUCGGAUGUGAAAACUCGGGGCUCAACCCCGAGCCUGCAUACGAUACGGGCAGACUAGAGGCAGGUAGGGGAGAAUGGAAUUCCCGGUGUAGCGGUGAAAUGCGCAGAUAUCGGGAGGAACACCGGUGGCGAAGGCGGCUCUCUGGACCUGUCCUGACGCUCAGGCGCGAAAGCUAGGGGAGCGAACAGG